rnacentral:lncRNA from 1 species
GCCCAUAUACUAGAUUGCUCUACUCUCUAUUCCCAUAUUAUCACCCAUUGUUAUGUUACCUUUAAUAUUGUUCUUAUUCAAUUUUACCAUCUUUCCUAUUUACACCUAUCUGUCUAGGUUAAGUUAGAGCGUAGAUCAGUUCUCCCGUUUCCCUGUGGAUACGAUAAAACCUUUAACCGCGUAAAAGUUACAACGGUAUCCGUGCGCUUGCAGGUUUAUCUGUGUGCGUAUAAAUACCAUAGUACACUCUAGUGCCAUGCUAGGGAUGACAACCUAGUAUUUAAGUGUUGUUAGCAAGUGUCAACAUGUAUGUGUGGCGAAUGAAUGGUGUAUGGUGAUGAUGGUGAUAACAAUGGUGAAUGUCUAAUUCUACUUUUUGUGCUCUUUUUGAGAGAUACAUACCUUUCUUGCUCUUUGAAACUUUUGAGGAGAAUGAUAUGCUCUACAUUUUCUUUUUCUUUCCUCCCAGGUGGGUAUCUUGUACCCCUAAUUCUACUGUCGGACACUUGUCCAUUUUUACCUCUCGUCUCACUUUUUCUUUUCUUUCGAGGUUCCAAGCACUUGCCCCUUUUUAUUUCCUCGUAUCUUGUUUUUCUUAGAGCACUCAUCUCCUGAAAUAAUAUAGCAAGUGGUAGUAACCAAGAUAACUCGAGCAUUUAUUUCACAGGGAAAAACAGCAAUGGGAUAAUGUUUUUUGCUAUUCUCUCCCGGAUUAGGUGUAGAAUACUUUUGAGUGGUUCUGGAGAUGGAAAUGGGUGGAUACAUGUGGAUGAGUACUCCCGGAGUAGUAGCAGCAUGUGUGAGUGAACGUGCAAGUGAAUCUUGAUUUAACCACAUGACAAGCUCCUAAGGGUCUACACAGCUUGACCAUACUCAAUGCUCAUAAGCAGUAAAAAGUAAAUGUGUGGCUCAAAAUCUAGCAAGCAUGUAUAUAUGGCUGUGGUAGGAAUUUAAACUCUCAUCAUACAGGACCUCAUCAUGUGAUAUUUUAAAGAUUUUCAAAGAUAAAAUUCUCCAGAUUUCUAGUAUCUCUAGGAAUAGAUAAACAACAGCUCAACCUUCCCAUAUCAUAUCCGUUAACAACUUAGAUUUCAGAUGAAGUUCUCUUCCCACAAGUUCAGGUUUAGAGCAAGCUUUAAAUUAUAACAGUUAUGUCUAAACUAGAGAGAGAACUUCAAAUUUGAAAAUUAGGCAGAGCAACUAUUCAUCAUAUCCAUGCUAGAGUUUUAUUUCAGUUUAGCAUAGCCACUUUAUUUAUUUAUUAAGCAUACUAAGCAAAAGAUAUAUAUAUAUAUCUAAGCACAAAAUCUUUAUUUGGUUUUUCAUAGUUAUGUAUAUUUUUAUUUUAAUAUAGUAUAAGUAUAUAGAUAGAUAGAAAUACUUAGCGGGAUAAAUGGGGGUGCUCUCCCCCAAGCUGGAUUUUGACGUAAUUUCUUUUGAUGUAGCUAGCAGGUGGCACAGGUGUAUUUGAAAGUCGGCAGCACCCUAACAGCGAUUAGAAUGUCCUCCAUCUGCUAGUCUUCUUGAUCCUUGAAUUCUGUGGAGCUCAAAUAGACAACAAAGCAUUGUAGAACUGAUUAGGUGUUAGCAUAAAUAUCUAGCCUUUAUCAUGUUGAGCUUCCUCAAUAAAUACUACUUUCUUUGGUAGGAUCACAAUUUUAUUUUUAUACUUUCAUUUUCUUAUAGAGCAGAAGAAUAUUUUUAUUUUAUUAUUAUGCCACCAUAGUGAAUGUACUUAUGGGUUUUAUGCCACUUGUAUACUCACAUGGGGCUUACUGUUUUUUAACAUUUUUUAUUUUCUUUUUAGGAUAGUAUGAACAUAAUUAACUAAGCAAACUAUUUUAAAUAAUUGAAAGGAAAAGGAUAACUACCAAGUUUACCUCUUGGCAAGGCGUUCGGUGUUUUUAAGUCCUCCGAACGGGACUCUCUGUUUUCUCAGUCGUCCUGGGAUUCGUUGGAUGGCGUAGUCGGUGGUUCCGGCGGCGCCUCCUCUUCGUGUAUAACUAUCUUCUCUCCACACCUGACUCGGUGCUACGGUCUCCUCAGGAUAGUUUUAUUCAAGCUAUAUGUCUUCAGACCUUACCACUUCUCCUUCGUAGUCUGCUCAUCCGUCCUUGAUGAUUUGCCUCUUCUAGUUUCGGUUGCGUCGUCUUCUUCUUGUCCUGACCUGCUUAGAGUCAUCAACUAUAUAGUUAGGAUCAGUAAAAUAGCGGCGUACCUUCUUAGAGGGGAAGUGCAUAUGAACUUCUUCGGUUCUAAUGUAGAUGAUUGCUUUAACGGUGCUGAGGAAUGAUCUCCCAAGGAUGAUGGGUGGAUCAUACUCGUCUUCUCCCAUGUCAAUAACCUGAAAGUCUGUAUGGACAAAAUGAUCGUCUAUUUUGAUAGGGACAUCAGUUACUAUACCUUUAAUCUUUCGGAAUGUCUGAUCUGCCAUCUAGAGCUGAAUGUAUGUCGGUUUUCGGGGCAUGGUUCCGAACAAGAGCCGAUAGGUGACUGCGGCCAUUAUGUUGACGCCCGAUCCGGUGUCGCAAAGCGUCUUGUAGAAGUUGUACCCAUUGAUGGAGCAAUGCAUGCUUGGCUUACCUGGGUCGUCCUUCUUGGUUAGAAACGGUGACUUGAGUCGAUGAUCUUGACCUCCAUGAACUGUAGUGACCAUCUUAGCUGACUCGGUCCACACUUGCUUGUUCAUGUUCCUCCUAUUGGUCCUCUUCCUUGGUUUAUGUCGGGAUUGCUCUGGGAUUUGUGUAGUCUUGUUCUUGAAGGAAAACAUCUCCUUCCUUCCCUUGAUGUAGAAACUGAUCUUGGCAGCACUAGGGUAGAUGACAGCUCCCGAGGUGUUCAGGAAUGGCCUCCCUAAGCUGACGGGUGCCCUCUCAUCAUUACCGGUCUCUAUCACCACGAAGUCUGCUGGGGCGUACAAGGUACCAACUCGGACGCAGAGGUUCUUCAAUAUUUCCUUUGAGAAACUUAGUGUCCGAUCUACAAGCUGCAAACACAUGGUUGUUUUUAAUAAAGCAUAUGUAAAGAAUUUUUCAUAGAGUUUCCUGGGCAUAAUGUUGACACUAGAGCCAAAGUCGCAGAGUGCUUCUAGGAAGUCCACCAUGCCAAUGGAGAUCGGCAUGACGGGGCGUCUUGGAUCGCCUCUCUUGACCGGCAGAAGGUCAGUAGUAACUUCCGUGACGGGGUUACUCCAGUAGUUACCUGUAUCAAACAUGUCUACAAGAUUUGCAGAUUCUAAUCCUUCCGGUUGUGAUGGUAUACCGGGGUUAGUAGCAGGAACAACAACAGCUAUUUGAUUUAACUGAGAUUCAAUCAUUUUAUUAAAACUAAUUUGAUUCUUGAUGGCAGUAGAGAAAUGAUGCAUUCUAUUAUUUAUAUUUUCUAGCAUUUUAUCAUUAGAUGCCAAUUUCUUAGAUAGGUUAUCCAUUAGCUUUCCUUGAUUAGACACUAACUCUCUCAGAAGUGGAAAAUUAUUAUUAUUGUAAGAAUUGUUACCUUGAUAAUUACCUAAGUAGUUAGGCCUCUGUUGAUUCCAACCUUAAUUUUGUUGAGGACGGUUGUAGUAAUUGUUGUUGAUGUAGUUCACGUCCUCAAGCCUCUCAGAGCAGUGAUUGCCUGAGUGUCCAGUAUCUCCACACUCCUCACAAGUCAUGUGAGAGUCGUAAACGUGCAUGACUUCUUUCUUCUCUCCAGCUCUAUCAUCGAGCUUCUUCAUGAGCAUGUCUAGCUUGGCAGACAGCAUGUCUACUUCCUUGAGUUGGUGCAUACCUCCACCUCUCUUGCGUGUCUGGGUCCUUUCUUCAUUCCAGCCUUGGUUGGACGCCAUCUUCUCCACAAGAGUUGUGGCUUGUGGUAUGGUGAGUGAUAGGAAUGCUCCUCCAGCUGCAGCAUCCAUGGUCUCACGGGCACUAUUGUCGAGCCCAUGAUAAAACGUCUGCAUCAGUAGCUAGCUCUCCAUUCCAUGAUGGGGACAUUCUAGGAUGUAGUCUUGGAAGCGCUCCCAUGCUUCUGGAACGGAUUCAUCAUGUUGUUGCUGAAAACUUGUAAUUUUCCCAUGCAGAGCAUUGGUCUUGCCCAUGGCAAAGAACUUAGCUAGAAAGUUCGUGGAGCAGAGUGCCCACGUAGUAUUCUUCUCCUUUGUACCAUAGAACCACUGCUUCGCUCUCCCCAAUAGUGAGAAUGGGAAGAGGCGAAGUAGUAUAGCAUCUCUGGGGACUCCUGAUAUGGUGAAUGUGCUGCAAAUCUCCAUGAAGUGUUGGAGAGGAGCACUAGCAUCUUCGUGUGCCUUCCCACCGAACUGGUUGGAUUGCACCAUGUUGAUAAGUCCAGGCUUGAGCUCAAAGUUGCCGUCGAUCUCUGCAGCAGGUCUAGUGCGGAUGUUGUCCGUAGUGGGAGCUGAGAACUCGCGUAUCGAUUUGUUCGCCAUGACUUCGAACUCUGAAGACAAGUUCCGGAUGAAACUUCGGCGGUCUUCUUGGUUGGAUGAAGCUUCUGCUGAAGUGUUGACGAUGCCUUCUUGAGCUUGGCUCUUGUUUUUCUGAAUAAUGCUUCAGGGUUGUCAACAAAAUUUCCUGAAAGAUGUCUUCUAUUCAUACAUUACCCUGCAUAAAAUAAAAUAGAAAAAUACCAGGGUAAAACUGUAUGAGAGAAUUGAUAAUCUCAAUCAUAUAAGUGAUGCGAAUGAUGACUCAAAAUUCCGUAUUCAUUCUUGAUUAGUAAUCAACCUUCCCCGCAACGGCGCCAAAAAUGCUUGUUGGACAUUCUUAACGUCAUUACCAAAAGUAGACUUAGUUUUCUAUUUCUGAUAACGGCGCCAAAAAUGCCAAACCUAUCCCUCAUGCCACUUAAGCGAGGUUGUCAUCCCCAGCAUGACAUGAGAGACGCGGUAUUGAAAUAUGCAAUUGCUCUUCUGAAUGAAUAAUAAUUGAGAUCUGCAAGCGCACAGAUUAAUACCGAUGUAGCAUUUUAACCGGGAAGUAUUCCAGGUAUCGUUAUUUAUAUUUUUACCACUCGGAAGAGAUUGUUAAUCAUCAAAGUUGAUUAUGGAAUAGAAUAUAGAAUUGAGUAUCUAUCAUUGCAUUUGUAAUAGAGAGCAUUAUCUAUCUCUUUCAUACAGGGAUAAAUGUCAUAUAAAAUAUAGAUAAAGUAUGAAUGGUGACAAAGAUAAUUAAUCUGAUCAGUAUAACUAACCACAUAUAAUAAUGAUAAGCACCUAUAGAUAUUUUAGCAAGUCAUUAGCAUGGAAUUAGGAUGAACUACAAGAAUAUUUCCUAAGUUAUUCUUAACUAUAAAGUCUAGCAUAUCAUAGUUAGUGCAAUUAUACUUGGCAAUCAUUGCGAGACAGGACUACGCCCAUGCAUAGUGAUAUUAUCAAGGAAGAUAAGAAACAUAGCAAUCACUCCACUGUAAUAAUGUUGUUCUGCCUGCCCUAUGCACGAGAGGGGGACUAUAUAAGAAUCAAUGGAGCUGUCACUACCACGAACUACCCCGCGAUCCGGCAUAUUGGGUACAAUCACAGAUAAAUACGGUAUAGGCACCACACCUACACAAUACUUAUCAUCUACCCACUGUACACAUGGAUAAAUGUUAUACGAUCCUAAACAUGUAUAUAAUUCCAAUCUAACUAAGCCAAGCAUAUAACUAUGAAAAACUAAGAACAAUAUAAUUGCAAAUAUAAACAAAUAGAGCAAAGUCAUAAUCAAUAUAUUGAAGUAGAACAAAGUCAUAUUCAUAAUAUUGAAGAACAAAGAUGAACAAAUGAAGAACAAUAGAGAAUCCUCUUGAAAGAUCCGGAAACCAAUCGAAGAUUGACUCCUUCUAGUUCUAAUCCUAUGUAGCUAUGCUAAAUUAGAGAUCUACUGAUGUGGUGGCUCUAGGGCUUGAUCAGAGGCUUCUUCUCCCGAGAUGGAUAAAUGAAUUAGGGUUUCAGGGGUUCUCUCCUCCAGGGGACAGGGGGUCUGCUUAUAUAGUCCUUCCAAAUGAAUGUGGACCGUCGGAUCAAACCGACAUUAAUCGCACGGUUUUCCUUAAUCCCUUAGGUCGGUGGAGCAUGAUCCACGAAGUGGAAGCUGAUUGGCCCUCAGACCAGGGCGGGCGCCCAAGGGGGAGGGCGGGCGCCCUGCCCCUGGGUCCGCUCGGUCUCCAGCUCGUUCCUGUGGCUUCUGGACUCUUCUAGAUGUUGGAUAACUGCGGUGCACGUUAAUAUCUCUAUGUAAACCCGACAUGUGGGUCUUUCCUUCAUAUUUCCUGAUAACCCCCUGUAGAAAUAGAUAAACACCAAAACUCGUGGAAUUCUGUCAGAUAAAACCCUAAGUCUGGGUAUUGGUUGCAUUUGGAUCCUUUUCUUUGUUUAUUUGUUGAUUAUAUUUGAUACUUAAGGACCGUCGUCAACACUUCACAAUGCCAAUCUUCAAACAGAAAUGUGCACCACUGCCGCAACUAAAUCUUUCAAUUACAUAAUAUACCCCAACAACACGUACGCUGAAAAAAUAUAUAGUCCAAUAAAAACAAAUACUCGCGCCGCAACAUAAAAAUAUUUAUUUCCCUUAAGUGAUAACAAAUAUUUACUCCCUACGUUAAAAAGAAAAAUAGAGUACCAACCUACUAUUUCCAACAAAAAAAAGUUACAACAAGUACAUGUGAUAACUUUGUUGUCUUUUCAUUCAGGAAUGAUUUUACAACUUACCUCACAAAAAUCUAUAAAUUUUUAAAAAAUAUAGCUAAAUACACAUACAACUAUACUCAUAUUUAUUAUAUACUCAAGAUACAAGUGAUUGAGACAUGUGACUUACUUUUAUAAUUGACCUACUCCCUCCGUCCACGAAAGAGCCAAUUUCUAGAGUUGUCUUAGGUCAAAAUUUUUAAACUUUGACCAAAUUUCUAGAAAAAAAUGCUAAGAUUUAUGGUAUCAAAUUAGUAUCAUUAGAUUCAUCAUAGAAUAUAUUUUCAUAUAAUGUGCAUUUUAUAUUAUAGAUGUUGUUAUUCUGUUCUAUAAAGUUAGUCAAACUUUAAAAAGUUUGACUGACACGGAUUCUAGGAAUUGAUUCUUUGAGGAAGUACUAAAUAAUAUAAAUAUUGAUAUUAUUCGGUGUAAUUAUAGUCUAAUUUAUGAUUAUACAUUUAUUAACCUAGCAAGCCAGUACUAAGUCUCCCAAGCAUCGUUAUCCAUCUACUUUCCCUCAUCCACACUGAAGCUGAGUCCGCCGAAGCUCUGAAGCUACGCUCUACAGGUAUGUCUUGCUUCUCCUUUCUUCUCCAAACUUCUCUUGCUUUCACAGAAACUUUCCCCGCUUAUACUUCACCCACAUCUAAACUACCGUUGGGAUCUAUUGACGAUUUGAGUACACAACGUUUUCUCCGAUUUGAGUACACCACAUUUUCUAUCCUUUCUGAAUCAAACAUGAUUUUAUACCUUUGGAUUCACACCGACUUCCUCCAUCUCAUAUGGCGCCACCAAUUAAUUUGCUAUUUAUUGAAUCUUUCUGUCUAUAGAUCUAGACUACGCACCCCGGUUCAGUAUACCUCUACACCCUGGACAAAUCAAGCAACAUUACUCGGAUGCUAGGUAAACGCUAUAUUUCGUUUGUUCUAUAUUCCUUGUAUUUAUUUCCUAUGUUUUAUGUUACCAAAUAACCCGUUUCCUAUAUACCACAACCCAUAAGAAAAAUGAGUCUAAAGCCUGUGCUGGAAUAAGUGGUGGAGCACUUAUAUUCUUAAGAUUUCGUAAUUUUUUAAAAAAUUAUUCAUCUGUAUACAUAACAAUUAUUGGUCAACCUUUGUGAAUAAUAUACCUAUAUGUAUAAUAUAUUGAAUUUUUAUGAAGACCAAAAAUAUAGAUUUCAAACUGACCCUAAUAUUAGCAUCAUUAUGGCACCUUUUUGGUGAAAUAAUUACAUACCCUCAUAUUAGUACAGUACUGCAUACAGAGUAAUACGCUUAUACAAUUUUUUGUUUAGGGAACAAAGGCUAAUACUCUGUCAGAAACAUCCCUGGAAUCAUAAUGGCGACUGUACCAAGUAAAAAAUUUUAAUUCGUCCUCCUUCGAAAAACCUUUUAUUAUUUUAAUUAUGCAAUUAACAUAUGCAUCUAACUCUUCCCAUUAGAAUCACGGCGAGAAACAUCAGUUAUUGCAAUGAUCAGAGCUAGUAGCUCCUGUAACCUUGGUCCGUAUACAAUUGCUAUGAUUAUCACAGAGGCAUUGCAGGAAUAUAGAGACAUCCUCAGCAUUGGAUUCUCUUCUGCCAAUUUUACUAUUGGUCUUAGUUCACCGGACUUCCAGCUAGCUGUUCUUUACUCUCGAAUAAUUGAAGAAUCAGACCUAAUUCUAGAUAUAUUGCCAUGGUGCCCUGAGUAUGUGAGUUUCGAUUUACCUUGGAUUAUCCAGCGCAAAAACAGAGGUAUAUAACAUUAAAUUUCACCAGCUUGUAAUUUCGUCUUCACAACAAUUUUGUUCAUUCUUUAUUCUCUAUACUAAAACCUGGAUUAUACUAUUCUUACUGCUGCAGUGACUCCACCAAACCAGCUGGGCAUUUACAUGAACAACCUCAUAAGUGAAGGAAAAUUAUCACAGCAAUGUAUUCGCCAACUAAUUGAAAAACAAUUUGGUAUUCCCCACAUAUCAGGUAUACAACCACAAGAAAACUUAUUCUUAGUACUUUACAUUUAUAAGCAGGAAUUUUAAAUUCAGAAUACAACUUAUUGCUAAAAUAUAUUGCAUUGCUAUUCCAUAUACAGAAAAUGCACAAGAGACAAACCAGAUCAUUAUAGAUGGUCUUACCGGCAUGGGGAAGCAAAGCUUUAUGCCAGACUUCAGCUACCUGAUGAUUUUAGAACUCAAGAGUUUUUACAGAGACAAAUUCACGGCUUUCAGGAAAUGUGCGCAAUCGUGUGAAGAACUUUGUGAUUGUGCAUAUCAGCUUUUCACCGAUAUCGAUCCAGCUCUUAAAUCUAUAGCCACCGAUAUAUUGUCCAUCGGAGAUAGCUUCAAUGAAGAAGUACAGUUCCUGAUAGCUAACGUUGCUCAAGACAUCCAUUCAGAAGGACUUUAUAUAGCAGAAGAGCUACUUGGGAUUGGAAGCAACAUACAUCCCUUAUAUGCUAGCAUGAAUUCUAUCAUUGAUCUAACCAGAUUCAAGAGCAAUAUUUGUAAAACACUGGUAAGCAAAAUACAAUAAAUAUCUAUAUAUCUUACCUUUAGAUCCAAUUCUUCGUGUUUACUCCUUUAUAUGAGCAAUCCCUGGUUAUUAAUAUAUAUAUCAUUACAUCAGGACAAUAUACCAGCAAAUUACACUCAACGUCUGCGAAUUAUUCUUAAUACAGUGGCUUAAAAAAAUUUAUGGAACCCCUGCUACAACCAAAACAGAGGCAACAUCAUGUUGGAUUUAUUAUGGGUUAGACCCAUUUAGAUUUAAUAAAUCAAUAAACUCUAUGGUGUGUAAUUAUGGACAAUAUAUACAUUGUACCAAAUAGGAGCAAGUCCAAGGGUUGGAGUGGCUGGCUGAUGGUACGGGAGUUUCAACUCAAUUAUGUGGGAGUUUCAACUCAUUAUCUGCGGGUGUUUCGAUAAUUAAUUGAGGGAGUUUCAGCUCCGCGUGAAAACCUUGAUGAUGCCCGUCUCUUCAGCCGCUAGCAGGGGAGUCCCUUCCCCUCUUGUCCUCUCCAGCCACAAGGAUAAAUAGGAGACUCAUCUCCUUGGUACAAGAAGAGAGAACACACAGAUCAUAGUUCCGUUGCAAAGUAGGAAUUCCCAUCUCGUAACUUCGCGCGCACGGAGGAGCGAGAGGGCAGGUGCCUCCGGAGCCCUUGCCGUUCGAGACCUUGCACGGGGGAUCGGCAAUUAGGUUUUUGGGGAGCGUCUACGCGACUGCCCAACUCCAUUGCUGCUGUUCAUCUUCUUCCCGGAGGUCUCUUGGUGUUGCCGGUCGCCGUCUUCUCCUUCCCGGUGAUUGGUUCGACGUCUUCACCUUCGUCUCUACUCCAUGGCGAUCGAGGAAGGACAAAGUUCUGGAAAUCUGAAUGCGCGAGUCUCAGGGUAUGAUCUGUUCAUCUUCCCUUAGUUUUACGUCGCUCUGUCUCUGUUUGUUUCAGUAGCUCUGUCGUGCAGGUUCAAUAGUUGUGUCAUACCUGUUUUAGUAGGUCUGUUUAGUUGUUUCAGAAGAUAUCUGUUGUCUGUUCCUGUUAUGUUUAAGCUCUGCGUAUAUGUCUCUGUUCUACAGUUCUGUUGUUUCGCUAGUAUCUGUUUUUCUGUUUCAGUAUAUCUGUUUAUCUGUUUCGAUAGUUGUAUCAUGUUUGGUGCUGUUACAGAUAAUUAUAUACCAUGCUAUGCUUUGAUAUUUGAUUUGCUUUAUGGAUCAUGGUUACAUGUCGUAAUUAUGAUUCAUGUCAUAUUUAUAUUUAUCAAUAACAUCAUAUAUGUCAUCAUCAUAUUGUUAAUUUAUGGAAUUAAAAUGACAUGGAAAUUGCCUAAUAUCCUAACAAUCCAAAAACCUAAUUAUAGGCAUUUUUCUGUCAGAGGUUUUGCUGCCGUGUUGAAACCUGAUACUUUUGAUGGUAAAAACUUCUUGAUCUGGAAAGCUAAGAUGGAAUUGUGGCUAACUGCUAUGUCAUGUUAUCAUGCCGCUGAGGGCAAGCCUGCUAACUUGUCUCCUGAGGAUGAGGCUAAGUUUAAGGCUGAUGACAACCUCUUUCGAGGUGCAGUGAUUAGCGCACUUGAUCCAAAAUUUCAGAAAAGCUACAUAAUUCUUCCAAGCGGGAAAGAGUUAUGGGAUGCUCUUGUGGCUAAGUUUGGAGUUACAGACGCUGGUACUGAGCUGUAUCUUAUGGAGCAGUUGUAUGACUACAAGAUGGUUGAGAACCGUUCUGUAGUGGAACAAGCUCAUGAGAUUCAAGCACUGGCUAAGGAACUUGAACUUUUCCCUUGUCCCCUGCCUGACAAGUUUGUGGCUGGCGGUAUUAUCGCCAAGUUACCACCUUCUUGGAAGGAAUUUGCUACUUCUCUCAAACACAAGAGGCAAGAGUUCAAUGUUGAGGAACUCAUUGGUACUCUUGAUGUUGAGGAGAGGGCGAGAGCAAAGGAUAAUGGGAAAGGUGUUGAGCCUUCUACUGCCAAUGUGGUGCAGAAGAACUUCCACAAGUUUAACAAGAAGAAAAUUCAGAAAAAGAAAGAGAACAACCAUAAGCCCAAUCGGUCCACUCAAUUCAAGAAAACUACCAACAAUAACAAGAAGGGAGGCUGCUUUGUUUGUGGCAGUGAGGAACACUGGGCAAGUGAGUGCCCAGAUCGCAAGUUCUUCCAAGGGAAGAAAUCAGCUAAUGUUGUAACUACUGAGACUGUAGGAACAUCUGGGUAUGGUAAUUCUUUGCCAUAUGUUCUUUCAGUUUGUAAUUCACCUGAGUGGUGGAUGGAUAGUGGUGCAAAUAUACAUGUGUGUGCUGAUGUUUCCUUGUUUGCCACUUACCAGGUCGGGAGGUCUGGCGCCUUGUUGAUGGGAAAUGGGUCGCGUGCUCAUGUUCUUGGUGUUGGUACGGUCAUUCUGAAGUUUACUUCGGGGAUGACGGUGCCAUUGAAGAGCGUGCAGCAUGUGCCCUCUAUCAAGAAAAAUCUUGUUAGUGCUUCUAUGCUAUGUCGAGAUGGUUAUAGAGUUGUCCUUGAAUCGAACAAAUGUGUUGUGUCGAAACAUGGAUCCUUUGUUGGUAAAGGAUAUGAUUGCGGAGGUUUGUUCCGCUUAUCUCUACAUGAUGUGUGUAAUAAAAUAGUGAAUUCUGUUGAUAUUUCUGAUGAGUCGGAUUUAUGGCAUUCACAGUUUUGUCACGCAAGUUAUGGUUGUCUUAUGCGGUUAGCAAAUCUGAAUUUAAUUCCUAAAUUUAACUUGGUCAAUAAAUCUAAGUGCCAUGUAUGCGUUGAAUCAAAACAACCUCGCAAGCCUCAUAAGGCUGCUGAGGCGAGGAACUUGGCACCUCUAGAACUUAUUCAUUCCGAUUUGUGUGAAAUGAAUGGUAUUUUGACUAAAGGCGGUAAAAGAUACUUUAUCACAUUUAUAGAUGACUCCACUAGAUUUUGCUAUGUGUAUCUCUUAAAAACAAAGGAUGAAGCGCUCCAUUAUUUUAAGGCCUAUAAAGCUGAAGUUGAAAACCAACUAGAGAGGAAAAUAAAACAUUUAAGGUCUGAUAGAGGUGGAGAAUAUUUCUCAAAUGAUUUCGAUGAAUUUUGUGUGGAACACGGUAUUAUUCAUGAGAGGACAUUGCCAUUCUCACCACAAUCCAAUGGGAUUACCGAAAGGAAAAACCGUACUUUAACAGAGUUGGUGAAUGCCAUGUUAAAUACAGCGGGAUUAUCCAAGGAAUGGUGGGGUGAGGCAAUUUUGACCGCGUGUCAUGUCCUAAACAGGGUUCCUACUAAAAACAAAGAGAUCACUCCAUUCGAGGAAUGGGAAAAGAAGAGAAUAAAUCUUUCAUAUUUACGCACUUGGGGUUGUUUGGCAAAGGUGAAUGUGCCAAUCAACAAGAAGCGUAAAUUAGGACCUAAAACUGUUGAUUGUAUUUUCCUUGGUUAUGCUUUCCACAGCGUUGGAUAUAGGUUCUUAAUUAUAAAAUCUGAUGUGCCUGAUAUGUAUGUUGAUACUAUCAUGGAAUCGAGAGACGCUACAUUUUUUGAGAAUGAGUUUCCCAUGAAAAAUACACAUAGUAAAAUAAGUCAUGAGACUACAAUACCCCAUGAGCAAGAAUUGUCUAUUCCUAUAGAUCAUGCUGAGGAGACUCACAUGCACAUCCCUGAGGAGGAUGAGACUAUAGUCACUCGAAAGAGCAAGAGACAGAGGAUUGCAAAAUCCUUUGGUGAUGACUUUAUAGUGUACCUUGUGGAAGACACGCCAACUACUAUUGUUGAGGCAUAUUCCUCUCCUGAUGCCGACUUAUGGAAGGAGGCAGUAAGGAGUGAGAUGGAAUCUAUUAUGUCCAACGGAACAUGGGAGGUCGUUGACCGUCCCUAUGGCUGUCAACCUAUAGGCUGCAAAUGGAUCUUUAAGAAAAAACUUAGGCCUGAUGGUACAAUUGAGAGGUACAAGGCAAGGCUGGUGGCCAAAGGAUAUACCCAGAAAGAGGGGGAAGAUUUCUUUGACACCUAUUCACCGGUCGCUCGAUUGACUACAAUUCGCACUUUGAUUGCCGUGGCAGCUUCAUACGGUCUUAUCAUUCAUCAGAUGGAUGUUAAGACGGCUUUCCUUAAUGGAGAGUUAGAUGAGGAGAUCUAUAUGGAUCAGCCAGAAGGGUUCAUUGCGGAUGGUCAAGAAAGCAAGGUGUGUAGGCUGUUAAAGUCAUUAUAUGGCCUAAAGCAAGCACCUAAGCAAUGGCAUGAAAAGUUUGAUAGUACACUUAUAGCUGCUGGCUUUGUUGUGAAUGAAGCUGACACUUGUGUGUAUUAUCGAUAUGGUGGGGGUGAGGCUGUUAUGCUAUGCCUUUAUGUUGAUGACAUUUUGAUCUUUGGAUCUAAUCUCAAUGUGAUUGAGGAAGUAAAGAAACUUCUAUCGAGUAAUUUUGAUAUGAAAGAUUUGGGAGAAGCUGAUGUCAUUCUUAACAUCAAGCUUAUCAGAGAAGGUGAUGGUGGGGUAACUUUGUUACAAUCCCAUUAUGUGGAAAAGGUAUUAAGUCGCUUUGGGUUUAGUGACUAUGAUCCUGCUCCCACGCCUUAUGACCCUAGUGUGCUAUUGAGGAAAAAUCGAAGAAUAGCAAGGGAUCAAUUAACAUACUCCCAGAUCAUUGGCUCACUUAUGUACCUUGCGAGUGCAAUGAGACCUGAUAUUUCAUAUGCUGUGAGCAAGCUGAGUCGGUUUGUGUCAAAACCGGGCGAUGAUCACUGGCGUGCUCUUGAGAGAGUGUUGCGCUACCUGAAAGGGACUAUGUCCUACGGUAUUCACUAUACCGGAAACCCUAGAGUGUUGGAAGGCUAUUGUGAUGCCAACUGGAUCUCUGAUGCUGAUGAGCUUUAUGCCACGAGCGGAUAUGUGUUCCUGCUUGGAGGUGGUGCUGUUUCCUGGAAGUCUUGCAAGCAGACUAUCUUAACGAAGUCUACAAUGGAAGCAGAACUCACAGCGUUAGACACUGCUGGGGCUGAGGCCGAGUGGCUUCGUGAACUCCUGAAGGAUUUACCAGUAGUUGAAAAACCGAUACCGGCUAUAUCCAUGAACUGUGACAACCAAACUGUGAUUACUAAAGUCAACAGUUCCAGGAAUAACAUGAAGUCUACAAGGCAUGUUAAGAGACGAUUAAAAUCUGUCAGAAAGUUGAAAACCUCCGGAGUUAUAACGGUGGACUAUGUCCAUACGUCGAAUAAUCUGGCAGAUCAAUUCACUAAGGGACUGUCACGUAAUGUGAUAGAAAGUGCAUCGAGAGAGAUGGGUAUGAGACCCACAAGUUAAUCUACUGUAGUGGUAACCUGCUCUAUGUGAUCGGAGAUCCCGUGAAGUAGAGUGGUGAAACAAGCUAUGAGUAGAUUGAGAGGAAAGUUCCCUUUUGAACCUAUCUCUGAUGUACAACUUUCCUUCUGUAAGGCAGGUUGGUAUUUACCUUAAUGUAUUCCAAGAGUCUUAUACAGAUGAGAUGUUGGCCUACAGAACAUCUUUUGAGGAAAACACCUAUAUGAGUCAGACUGCUGGUCACAGUCUAUGGGACUUGGGUAAUCCCUAAAUACUCAUGAAAGGCACUGAAGUGUGACUUAUAUGCUUCAAACAGCGGGGAUGCCUUGUGCAGCCAAGUAUCAGCAAAGAGCUUGAGUGGACCUCAUCUCGCACAAAACUGUCAAUUCAAGGCAUAGUCCAUUGUUCAGUUGUGUGUGGGUGAAACUUUUGUUCUAGAUGGAUGUUCAACUUAAUAGUCUCCAUCGAAACACUAAUAUAUCAAAGAAUUGUGGUUCUGAUGCUUCAUAAUUACAAACCCUAGAGUUUUGGGGAUUGUUGGAUUUAUUAUGGGUUAGACCCAUUUAGAUUUAAUAAAUCAAUAAACUCUAUGGUGUGUAAUUAUGGACAAUAUAUACAUUGUACCAAAUAGGAGCAAGUCCAAGGGUUGGAGUGGCUGGCUGAUGGUACGGGAGUUUCAACUCAAUUAUGUGGGAGUUUCAACUCAUUAUCUGCGGGUGUUUCGAUAAUUAAUUGAGGGAGUUUCAGCUCCGCGUGAAAACCCUGAUGAUGCCCGUCUCUUCAGCCGCUAGCAGGGGAGUCCCUUCCCCUCUCCUCUCCAGCCACAAGGAUAAAUAGGAGACUCAUCUCCUUGGUACAAGAAGAGAGAACACACAGAUCACAGUUCCGUUGCAAAGUAGGAAUCCCCAUCUCGUAACUUCGCGCGCACGGAGGAGCGAGAGGGCAUGUGCCUCCGGAGCCCUUGCCGUUCGAGACCUUGCACGGGGGAUCGGCAAUUAGGUUUUUGGGGAGCGUCUACGCGACUGCCCAACUCCAUUGUUGCUGUUCAUCUUCUUCCCGGAGGUCUCUUGGUGUUGCCGGUCGCCGUCUUCUCCUUCCCGGUGAUUGGUUCGACGUCUUCACCUUCGUCUCUACUCCAUGGCGAUCGAGGAAGGACAAAGUUCUGAAAAUCUGGAUGCGCGAGUCUCAGGGUAUGAUCUGUUCAUCUUCCCUCAGUUUUACGUCGCUCUGUCUCUGUUUGUUUCAGUAGCUCUGUCGUGCAGGUUCAAUAGUUGUGUCAUACCUGUUUUAGUAGGUCUGUUUAGUUGUUUCAGAAGAUAUCUGUUGUUUGUUCCUGUUAUGUUUAAGCUCUGCGUAUAUGUCUCAGUUCUGUUGUUUCGCUAGUAUCUGUUUUUCUGUUUCAGUAUAUCUGUUUAUCUGUUUCGAUAGUUGUAUCAUGUUUGGUGCUGUUACAGAUAAUUAUAUACCAUGCUAUGCUUUGAUAUUUGAUUUGCUUUAUGGAUCAUGGUUACAUGUCGUAAUUAUGAUUCAUGUCAUAUUUAUAUUUAUCAAUAACAUCAUAUAUGUCAUCAUCAUAUUGUUAAUUUAUGGAAUUAAAAUGACAUGGAAAUUGCCUAAUAUCCUAACACAUCAGGCGGUAAUUUCAUCACAUAUAUCUCUACUGAAAAAUCUAGUGACUACCAUAAAUCAAUACCAAUGACAACACAGACCGAAGCUGAAGCGGAUGCUAUUUACCGGUUCUUAAGGCACAAAACAAAUGUUCUUGGGUACAGCGUAAUAGACAUAGACUACUCCACACUCGCCAGAUUAGUAUCAGAGAUAAACAAAUACAAUGAAGAAACUAACGAGCUGCUACUUUGUGCCUCAAAAGCUGCAACUAUGAUACAACAAGUACAUAAAGAUAUCAGCAAAAUGUACACAGAUUUUCUAAAGCAGAUUCCUUGCGAUGAAAUUAUGGAGGUACAAAUUUCGGUAAAUAAUCGGCUUAUUUCAACAGAAGCAUACUAUAUGGCUGCAAAACAUGGACUACAUAUCUUUAAGCAGAACAAGGUAUAAACAAAUUAACUGAACUUUUUAUCAAAUUUUAGAAAACAUCUCGGGAUUAUUAUAGUAUCCAUACAUUAUUUUACAGCAAAGCUAAGAAUCUAUCACUUUGGAGACGAAGUACAGAUCAAAACCAACUUACUAAUCUUCGCCACUAAAGCAAGCAAUAAACAGGUACUUUUUUUUCAAAUACAUUACUUACAUCUUGCUGUCUUCUCCAAAAUCAUGCUACUUAUUCCAUACUCGCUUAUUACAUCUUCACAAUACAACGGCUAACUCAUAUAAAUAUUAAUUUCCUAUAGAUCUACAACUCCUUAUAUCGGCUAUCAUAUGACAGUGAAUCAGCAGCAACACCCUCUGGUACUGCGGUACGCCAGGACUCAUCGCUCAACCACAGUUCAGCUCUUUUGGUUGUACUAAAUAUACAUCUACGAACAAGCACUUUCAUAGGCUGUAAAAUUCCGGUUAUGUAAAAUAUAAUGUAUCUUCCGUUUAUACUAUAUAUAAAUAUAUAUACCUAUGAACAAACGCUUUCUGAUCCUUUAAUACUAUAAAAUAAAUUGAUCUACUACAUGUUUAUAUUUACUCCGGAAUACUUACCUAUCUUAUUAAUAUUAAUAUAAUUCCAAUCUUCAACACAACGCUUACAUACCAAAGGAAACUACAAAAUUUCCGUUGCCGCUCAAAAAUACACAUUUACACAUAUAUUGGGGAAAAAACACAGCCCAAAAGGCCCAUCAAUCCACCAGCAAUUUUUCUUCCUAUACACAUCACCCUUAUCUAUCCCCCCCUUCCCCAUAUAUUGGAAAAAAAUGACACAGCCCAAAAAGCCCAUCAAUCCACAAACAAUUUUUCUUCCUAUAGACAUCACCUUUAUCCAUCCCCCCUUCCCCCCUUAUCCAUCCCCCCCUCCCCCCCCCCACCCGAUAGCUUCACACACGAAGAUCCGCUGCCCCGACAAUCCCACCGCCGCCACUCAGCACCAAGCGAUCCUCCCUCCAUCAAAUCCAUGAAUAGAGAUAAGCAGUAGACACCAACGGUAGCUAACAACGCAAGCACCCAAACUAGCAGUACAUCUCCCAUUCACCUUGCAAGCUUUUCGCUCCAUAUCUGCAAACCCUAGGUCACCAUCGACGGAAGAACCAGCAAAUCGAAUCUGACAAAGGCGCAAGAGGCAGCUCACCAUAGGAACAAGAAUCUUCCAAAUCUCAGUACCAAACAGAUCGGUGUUCCCAUCGCUCAUCCAUUCCGCCAGUGGCUUGAAAAAGGUAAUAUUCAAGUAAGUCUCCCCUCCAUUCAAAUCCUAUAACACCGUGACAAAUAGUUAUCUGACAUUUCGCUAAUAUUAUACAACAGUUACUGCAACAAAUAAAACAAUUAUAUAAACAAUAUUCAGUCCAACUCUACUCAGAUUAAGAUUUACUUUGCUACUACUACUUUUUUUAUUCUAAACAUCAAUAGAGCCUAAAUUUAUUCACAACAUAUAUAAAUUGCUAAAUUACUAUCGAGACUUCAUAAAGCACAGUAAAAUACCGUUCCCUAUUUACUGGGCCAAGAACACCAUAACUGUUGUACUCCUAAAUCUAAUCCAAUAUCUUUUAUUGUAGAGUUUAAACACUGAUAUGGACAGAUUCUACUACUCCAAUCUUACCAUCGUUGAUGAAGGCGAAGACAUCAAACAAAGGACGACUCAACUGCAAGAAACAAUCAUUGCAAGAUUCCCACAACAUGCAUCAUAUAACAUUAGUCCACAAGCCAUUCAAGCAGCAGCUGAAACCCAAUUCGGAGCAUUUAUCAAAAUUUCAGAUAUAUCACGGUACGAAACAAGUUUUUUACUACACAUACACUCACCUAGUGCUCGCAGAGACAUGCUAACAAAAGGAUACCUAAAUAUGACUCCGCUCAGUCCAAACCUUAUACCAUGGAACCCAGAAUACGGUUCUAUUGCUACUCUAGCCUACCCACAAUUGUCAGCUAUACACAAUUUUGAUUAUAACACCUCAGCACGCAAUUUAGGUAAACCACUCAAGCAAAUCCAGAUGAAAAUAUCUGGCAUUCCACCGCAUCUAUGCAGCCACACAACAGUUGAUGCAUUGCUAAACAAAAUAGCCACAAUAAGAUAGAUUACACUGAACGCCAGUAACUAUACAUAUAUCAUAUCCGCGGAGACACACUGUCUCGAUGAAAUCCCACCUACAGCAACUGUAAGUGUCAGAAGAAUGCUUCAAGGCAGGCUUCUACUGAAUGUCUGGCCUAUCUGGUACGAGACAACUGACAUCACUGCCUCCACAUUAGGUAACUACUCAUUCCACACAACAAAAUCAUCACAAUUAUUAUACUGGAAUCAUCAGAUAUCUAUUCAUUUUAUUCUUACAAGACAAACGAACAGGUUUCACUGAGCAAUACGUCAACCCACAGCCAGAUGAUGAAGCAACCUCAGCAUACCCACGACAUAACAGAACUACGUCGGCAUAUGAUUAUGAAGGUAAAACACCGACAAUUAAUUUUGCCCUUAUUUCGAAAUGCCCAAAAAAUCCAGCCCAACCCACAGAAAUCAAAAUAUACAACUAAACUUACUGAAAUCUUUGCUAUCUAAUCAGAAACCGAGGACUUCUCGCCGGUACGUAACUCAAGCGAACAUGUAUGUGGUUGUGAAUCUAAUCGAAGCAUGAACUACUGAUCAGCUCUCCAUCGCAUAAAACAAGAUAUCGACAACUUCGUCGACACCGCCUAAUGAAUAAUUACAAUGUUUCCACUCACCGCUGUAGAAAACUUCUGUACCCACCGAACAACGCCACACUACUAUUCCACGCUACUAAUACCAACCAAUGGCAACCAAGAAUUAUUACCACUAUGAACGAUGUUGUAAUAAACACAAUAACCAAUCACCGCUAUUCGUAUCAUAUGUACUAAUAUUCUGAAUAACACAUCUAAUUCUGUCUAUAUCAUUUAGCAAACUACUGUGAUUAACACUUUUGCGCGCAAGGGCGCGCAUUUUCCACUACUUGAUUAGAAAACAACAAAGCUUUCAAAUGAUUACAAUAACCUAAGUUCCAAAUACAUUGCUAGCAUAAGUGACCUCCUUCGACAAAAGCAUGUAGAUGAGAACACUAUAUAGAAUCACCGAGCCCACCAGCGGUUAGCCACCAUCCUUAGCAGGUUGUAGACUUCACCUGCAACAUGGUGGGAUAAACCCUGAGUACUCGAAUAUACUCAACUAGACUUACCCGAUAGGAGAGAAAAUAAAAGACUCUCAAGGAUAUGCAAGGCUAUUUGGUGGAGUUGGUUGGAUAGCAUAUCUUUGCCAAAAAGAGCAUUACUAUCAUAAGUCCUUACUUUCAACCUUUUAGUCAAUAUUUUAGCAUCAAGUCCAAUAAAGCUACCAUAGCUAGAUUUGCACCUAUUCUAUAGCAACCAUUUGAUUAAUAAGAAUCACAUUAAUAACCAUAUCUGGUUUAUCAUGUAGCCAUCAUCAUCAUCAUAACCCUUAAGUUUCAUUUAGUGUAUCUACAUUGCCGCUGCUCAAGUCAAGUUCUUACUAUCCGAGAGAGACGGCGAUUCGAAUCGAUUCCUAUCCAGCUGGAGGGGUAUUCCUAGCACUCACCCAAGCAUACCUCGCGAGGGCAGCUCGGAUCACCUAGAGCACAACUCCAGACCAAUUCGCGGGUCUGUACGGCGCCGCACCCCCAGGGACCGCCAAUCUGCCAGGGUCAGGACUCUAACCUGACACCUCGGUCUUACGCCAUUGACUCUCCGCACAUCCUUGCUACCAACCGAGGUGCGCACUUUAACCGAUCGGGGUAUCCGGCCAGAGAUGCACUCGUAGGCUUCACGGUCGGAACGACUUAUCCGGCCAACUAAGUGUUAGGCAUGCGUUCAACAUGACAAGAGGACAUACAGCGUAUCGGUCCUUAAACGAUACAGACGGGGAUAGUCAUACCCAAGACCUCCAUGCCUUGUUGCUUCACUAUCGUCAUCCCGCUCGGUCCCAUUUCAUUAUUAGCACAUGGUUAUUUCCACGAUACCAAAUAUAGCCAACCGUGAUCAAGUAUCCACCUAUCUCUCGCAGGUGACAGGAAAUCACAUGGCUUCUACCGAGCUAAGCAUAGCUAAGCAUAGAACGUCUUCCUUAUACUAGUAAAGGUUCAGGUAGUUUCAUAUAGUGGACAAGGUAGGAAAUAUGCACCAACGGUUUCAUUCAACUCCUAUCACCUAAUGCAUCAUAUAAAGUUAUACUCUUGUGCUUUUGUAAAAAGAGAGGGUAGGAGACUUAGAAUGCUCUGGGGCUUGCCUGGAAUCCGACACAAGUCAGUUAAGUUAGCUUGCGCCAUCUUGACGACAUCCAAGUUCGUAACACUUGUGUAGUCCUUCCAUCAUUCCGAUAGGUCCACCGUCAUGUCCUUCACGUGGUUCAUCUCGUACCUAAAUAAGAUGCAAGAUGCAAGUACAUGAACAUAUAGAAGUGCAAUAGAGAAUGCAUCACACACAGGAAGCAAUGCAAGAGUAGGUUUACACUAAACAUACUUGAGCACUCCUCAUUGCUUACUUAAAGAUUACAGAACCAACAUGUUAAGACAACAAAGAAUGCAAUAAAAGGAAUCUGCCAUUUUUAGGACUGUUAACAGCUGCUGAGUAAAUAAAUCAUAACUGGAGUUACACAACUCCAAAAGACAUGAAUUAAGACAUUCUGGAAAGUUUAAGAAAUUAUCUGCAUUUCAUCUUUUGGUAGCAAAUCAUGAUUCACAAGUUUAGCAUGUCAAAAUAUUAGGAUUACAGAAUCAGGUCCUAACAAGACAGAGAGCAACCAUUUCUAAAACCCAACUUUGAACUGACAUAACACCCAAACCGCAUAACCAAAUGCCACCAAAUUUUAACAGCAGGUAGAUAACUGAAUUAUCUACAUCUUUGCUAUAAACAAGAUUCCCAGAAAACAUCAGUUACAUAUUGUAAUCCAAACAGUUCCAGAAACUGUCCAGAAACAACAAUUGCAAACAAUUAAUUAUUAACUUAUGUUUCCAACAUGCAUUUUAACAAAACCAUUGUUACCAACAGUUUGCACAUAUCUAAAGAACACCAGAAAACAUAGUGGUCAUUACCAAAUAAAUUUAUUUAAUGCCUUUCUUAAUUCAUUUGGAUAAUAAGGUGAAUUAAAGAACAUAUACCAAACAUGCACAGUAUAUUCCUCAACAAUUAUAGUAGCCUCAGCAUACCAUCAAUAGGCUACGGUAUAAAUUUCAUGGUAUUUGACUAAACAUAGCAUCAUCUAUGAAAAAGACAAAUUGCUAUUGCAAUUAACCAUGUGAGAGCAAGAUAAAUGCUCAAAUCAUAUUUUCUUCAAACACAUGACCAUAUUAUAUUUGAACAUGAUACAAAACUAUCAUAGAAUUGUACUGGAACAACAUUUUCCAUUUUUAGAUUUUUAUUUACAGGUAUAAAUGAUUUAUCAAGCUCCAUGAAGACAUCUUUGUUCAAAACAUGGACAGAACCUAUCAUGCCAUAUUAAAUAGCCAUAACUUGAGUUUCAUAUGCCCAUAAGUUAUGGUUAUGUACUCUCUAGAAAGAUUACUAAAUUGUGAACAACUUUGUUAUAAACAUCUAGAGUUAAGUCUACAACUAACAAGGUCUUACAUAACAAACAAUGCAUCCCUGUCUGGGUUUAGACAGAAACUGAAACAGUACUUUAAACCACUAUAACUAAACAUAUGCUUAACCAAAAAUUAUGCUAUUUAGCUUGAUCGAAAGCUUACGAAAAGUACUACAACUCAUAUAUUUUCAUCCAGGCAUGAUUCACAACCUAACUGAGCCAAACAAUAUAAACAUGCAGACCAACUCAGAAUAUGAGCAAAGCAACACAGGGCAAUUGUUAUUUUUAUAACUCUUGAUUUGUCAUUCCUAAAUUCAUACAAAUUUUACCAGACAUCAAAUAUUAUAUGUAAAGCAUGUCACAAUAUUUUCACACUUAUUGGAGCAAUAAUACAGUGGUUACGAAAAACACAAAUAUAACAAGCAAUUAAAACCGAACUGCACAAAUCUAAUUUUAGCGUUAAAACUUCAAACUAAAACAUGAAAUAAUAUAGAUCUACUGCAUAGAGAAUUUCACAAGGAUUCUACAAAGUCCACAUUUGCUAUUUUAUGACUUUUCUAGCAUUUUCUAUGCAUUAACAAAUUUCACCCAGAAAUCUGUAAAAACAAAAGAAAAGGAAAACACAUCUUGCAUCGGGAACCCUGUGUUUUCCAUGAAUCACGCUGCAUCCCAUAAGCACUAUUUAUAUGAUUGGCUUCGCAUCUGGAACCCUGAGUUGUUUCAUAUUCUAACCCGAGAUCCCUCCUCUUCUCUUCUUUGUACACAGCAGAGACAGAGGAGAUGGUCGGGUUCAGGCUCCGGCAGGGAGCGGCGCUAGGGCAUUGGGGGAGGCCCAGGAGGUCUCGUGGUGCCAAGCCGCACCCGAAGAGACCCAUAGGGCAACCAGGUUUGGCCAAAGAUCACCCGACCUUGUGCACUGGUGGCUCGAACGAGAGCAGUUCGUCCACGGCGUCCACAGCGCCAUGACGGUGGUUGUUCCUACGCAGACCACGAGGGGAUGAUGUGCGCAACUACAUCAGUUAGGGCAUUGAGGUUAGUUCGGCCAAGGAAGGUUGAAUGACGGCAGAGGGGGCGGAGCUCUGCUGCUCACCAAUGGUGGCAACCUGUGCCUGUCCGUCCAUGGAGGACAGAGGGAGAGAGCGGGAGAAGGAGGACUUGGAGAGAGGAAGGGGGCAUUGGAGAUGGGGAGGAAUGUCUCCUAUCUGCUCCUGGCAUCAGAGAGGCAGAGAGCAAGGUGGAGGUGGCAGCAAUGGAGAUCUUGAACUCGUGCUUGGUAACCACGUCCAUAACACGUGUUGUCCGUUGGGGCAUUUUAUCAAGCACGUGGCGGGCAAGGAUGUGUUCAGCGUGGGAAGCGAUUUGUGCCAGCUCUAGACCGAAUUUGGACAUGGACCAAAAACGAAGUUUGUUGUCCUCGUGCUGCUCUACGUUUCUCGUUUAAGGGUCAUGGCCAAUAGAGUUUUAGAUUAGUAGAUAAUUUGAUGCCAAUCUAUGAGUGUCAAUGAAUUGAUAAUGAUUAGAAAACCAAGAAUUGAUAACCAAACCGAAGUCAAACUGGUGUCAUCUUUUGGUAUGCUCUUUGUCCACAAUAUGUAUUCCAACUUCUACUUUAGGACCCAAACAAGUUGUUUAACAAAAUUUGGAGAACGCGGAAUGCUAACGUGAUGAACUCCAAUCCCAGACUUAGAAUUUCGAAGUGCUGGAAAUUACAGCAGAUUUAAUAUUGUGACCAUUAUUUGACAUCCUUAGAAGAUGAUUCAGACAUGGGCACUUUAAUAAAGUUUGUAGCAUACAAAUUGUACUACAACUUUUACUAAAGGACCUUGUACUGGUUCAGCCUGGGCUGGAAGAUACAAAGCUCCCAAUAUGGAUACCCAAAACUGAACACCUUGAGGACUUGGCCAAAAUUCUUUACUUCCAAAACAGCACUACAUUGAAUUUUGUAAGCUCAAUUUGACUAGGUUAGGGACCAAAAUAGCUCUCGAUCAUUAAACAAAGUUUGUUCUACAGAAUCUAAACUACAACUUUCAUUUAAGGUCAAAUCUCAAAACUAGUAUAGAAGUCAAACUUUCACUUUGGUCAAUGCAACAACUUGAUAAAGCUCAAACUAAGGUUUUAGGCUAAUUGAAGCACUUUUUGGGCACAAGCUCAACAUGAACCCGUCAUGAAUUUUGUUGUAGAGUUCAUCUAGAGUCAAAUGGGCAAGGUUGCAAGGAUUGGUUGUUGACCCAUGGUUCUAUUCACUUAAUGAGGCUAUUUCAACAGGCAUGUAACUUAUUGUUUCAUGUGACCUUUUGAUUCCAAACAUCAUGAAACUUUUUGAGUGCUCACUAUAGGUAGUGAUGGAUGUAGGACACAAGAAAUAGGUUCCAUUAAUAUCACCCAAGCAUGCACAUUGAAAAGGGCCUAUAUGUAAGCAAGGGUGCAUUAUCCAAGUUUAACUUGAGGCUCACUUACAUGGAUGGACCUUAACAUGAUCAUCACCACUUAUCUUGGCAUGUUUGAGCUCAAAACCUAAGGUCUAACUCAUGGCAAACACCUGGGGUGUUACAACCCUCCCCCCCUUAAAAGAAUCUCGUCCCGAGAUUCAGGGCGAAAGACUUUCAAGGGUAGAGAAGCAUGUUAUUCACUUCCAACAUUGGCGAUAGCAGUCAAUUACUUAUCCCCGAGCAUUUGGGGGGGGGGCUAAUUUGGUCAGGACACUUUCUCAUACUGGUUCUUCAUAGUGAAUUUUUGUCUAAAGAAUUUCCUUGAUUGACUUCCAUGAAGUAUUGUUACUUUAGGAGGAAUUCAAGACAACAUAGUUUUUCAUUCCCAAUGUAAGAUGGAUAAUUCAGAGCAUAAUAGACUACUCAUUACAAUGUCUCCAUGUUUGUUCACAAAGCUCGAAAAGCAGUGCUCUACCAAAAUGGCUGGAGUACAACCUUUCGUAGGGGAUGAGAUCAUGAACUAGAUAAACAUCCUUUGAGGUUAUGAGAAAAAAACUAACCAACAAACAAUGUCUAUUCUAGUCGUAAGGUCUAAUCAUUCAGAUGCCAAUCAAUGGAAAGCUACCUAAGGUUCCAUGUGUGCAGUUCUCCUUCUCUAAUAACAACACUGUAUUAUCUGAUUCUAUCAAGUCAAUGCUCAUGAUUCAAGGAAUUUCAUGGCUCCAAGUGUUAACAGUUUCCUAGGUCGUAUCAAUACAACCUCUUGGGUAAAAGGAACAUAGAAGAUACCCAAGGCAUGAUAGCAUUAGAUAAGCAUUGCUAAAGACAGAUGAUAAGAGGGUCUAGAGGACAACAAAAGUUGCAAGUAUUCACCGAACUAGGGAAACAAGCUACUACCAAGCAAGUCAACUAAAAUUUUCCUUAUUAAGCAACGGCUUAGUAGGUUCUUGGUCGACUUGCAUUGUAGCAUAAUAGCUUGGUGAGGCUACUUUUGAGAUUGAGGAUUCCUUUCUAGGAUCAAACAAUAGCUCUAAGAUAAUAAAUCUAAGAUUUGUUAUUUAACACCUUUCCAAUUAUCUUUGACUUGUAGAACGCCUAGAUUGCUCAAAUAUCGGUUGAUGCGAUAGGGUAACAACUAGGUGUCCAAGGGUGAAAGGAGUCUUUUAUAGGUCAUCCUAAGGUUCAUCUUGGUUCAGUUCACACCGCGCAAACUAGCUUCAUUAUGCAUGAAUUGUUAGUGUGUAUAUAGAUCUAAGAGUCUUCUCAUUAUUAACCAAGAUUUAGCUCAAGCAAACACCAUAUGGAUAACCAAACAAAACAAAACCUCCCUCAAACUCUUCAUGUAGACGCAGCUUUUUCAUGGAGGAUCGAGGAUAGGGUUUUCUUUACAUCUGUCUUAGAAAACAACUUCAAUUGUGGAUUGAACACCAACUCAAGGAUGCACAAGCAUUGGUAUUGUGGGCCAUUUUUUGUGGAGCUCAAGGUAUGCUCCACAUGAAAGGAUUGUGCUGCAGAAGAUAAGAGAUGAUGAUUAUCUUUUAGCACUUCAUCCAAUCAAGUCAGAAAGAAAACCUUUGAUAGCGCCAUACACAUAAUGAUGCUGGCCAAGACUAGGGACAUGCUUUUCCCUAGCUUGUGACCUAGAUAUAGCAUCUAGUACUAUAGGUGUGAUUAUCCAAGAGGGAAUUGACUUGACAACAUCGAGUUUGGAGAAGGAAGCCAUAUUUGCUUCAUUGAUCGACUUGUUAUCUUCUUUGGUGGCAACAAUUGUAGUUGAUGCGUAUAUAGGCAGUCAAGAUCAAAGUCAGCCAAAAGAGAUCAAAAUAGAGAUGGUUGAUUAUGACUGUGUGAUCACCAUGAUCAAGAUUUGGAUCAAUUCUUGUCUAAUUGAUAACUUGUCCAACUUUUAAGUGUUGUGUGCCCUUUGGAUUCAACAGUGGAUGACACAAGUUACUCACUAAAUGACAGAUAUUGUUACAUGGGUAACAAAUAGAGUCUCUUGUCUACCACCCCUUGCAGUGUGCUAAGGUUUAUGUCGGUAACCUAUUCUUCAAAGGAUAUCUUCUUAGCAACUUUAGAAGGAAGUCCUAUUAGAUAAGUCUGAUAUAGAUCCUUUGAUUGAAGAUAAGGAAAUAUAACAAAGGACAAGCUCAUGAGAAGAUAACACAGCGGUGUAGUUUCUAUAAUAGAUCAUGACUAGCAACCACGAUACCAGUGCGUGCCGAGCAGCAUGACCUUGUGUCUACAGCCACAGGAUGCUCUCGGUUUCGUCAUGGCACCAUCAAUCGUUAAACAUGACACAUUAUUGAUCUUACAACCAACAUGAAAUCUCACAUGACAUAGGUAGGUCUUGCAUGGACAAGAAUCAUGUGCAAGACAAAAUUAAACCAAGCAAAGAUGACAGCAAGAUUUGGAGGUAACAAGUAGAAGGUUAACGGAUAAGAACAAGACACAAGACAUACAUAGAUACGCAUUGUGCCCAUCAAGGUCAUUACCCAAUAAUUACAUCAUGAGAUGCGGUCAUGUUGGGUAGGAAUAUGAGAUCAAAGUCGAUAAGUAUCCCAAGACUUUGGGGAGGCUGGAGAUGACUUAAGCAAACUCCAAAGGUAAAUCCAUUACACCAAUGAGAGAUUGAGUUGAUAAGGAGCUACAUGAUUUGUACGCAAAGAUUUAGAGAUCGGCAAUAAGAGAUUGCAUUACACAAGCUAAGAUUUGGGAGAGGCAACCGGGAGGUCCAACAUGGAUUUGGUAUGGUCUUUGUAGCCAGCAAGAAUAACUGUAGUCAAAAGCUUUCUGUAGUGAGAACUUAUCCUAGCUAGUUGGCUAGACAAGGAUAUUUGCAUAUGGGUGCAGGACAACCAUGAUAUAUGCAAGCAUUUGAGAGUCUGGACAUGGGUUUACGUAUCAAGCAUAGGCAUGGAUGCUCAAACAUUCAAAAACUAACAACCAAGUCUAUAAGCUUGGCUCCGAAGAGGGAGAACCUAAUUUGAUACAACCAACACACAAUUAACAUAAUUUUUGCGUCAUUCUAAGAUAAAGCUAUUUAACACUCAUGCUUGCCGAGGACAAAAGAUGAAACAACUAAGGAACGAUCUACGUAACCAACAAUCACACAAGAUAACAGUUUUUACCAAGUACUUAAGAAACUCAAACACUCAUGCUCAAACAACCAUAACUAAGCACAAAGCUUACAUAUAACUAGCAUCUAUCUACAGCAAAACAACACAUUUGUACCACAUACAAAGAUUGUGAUACAAGAUGUGCUACAAAGUGUUGAUAUUUGGUAACGCCAUCAGGAAAUGAUCCGCAAGCGCACGGAUAUCGGUGAGCACUUCACCUAGGAGGUUAUCCAGAGUAUCGUAUUUAUAUUUUUACCACUGGGAGAAAGCGUGCAUCUGACUAAACAAACCUAUUGCUCAUACCCUUUAGGCUACAAACAAUGUGAUUCGAUGUGAGUGAUGAAUAGAGAAGACUACAACUGCACUCUCGUUCUAACCUUGGUAAGGAUGAUCUACUGUUCUAUUGGGGAGGCUUACGGAAUCUAGAUACCACAAAGGAUGUUCGACCCAUACCUAUAAACCCUAUCGAUCCUGCUAACGGGAUGUGGGCUACAAAGGUAACUCGGAGAUGUCACGUUCCUCGCAACUACCACGGUCCAACUAGACAGGGGAUAUCUAUGAGUACCCUAGCCCAAACACCACGUUUACGCUAGCAAUGAUUAUUGUAAACUCAACCGGAAGAGAUUAAAGUAAACUCAUAAACCAAAGAACAAUAAGAACAAAGCACUUACUAGAAUUUAGAAGUCGAAAUACUAAAGAAUCCUAGGAGCAAGCCUCGGGUUAGGAGAUUUGAUCCCGUAGGUACAACCUCGGAUUAGACACCGACAGGUCGGGCUUCCUCCGAUCUACACCUCCACUCUAUCUCUCUCAAUCUAGUAGAACUAGUUCUACUCUCACAUUGGAUGCUAAGCCCUAUGAGGUGGGAAGCCUAAGGAACCUCUCUCUCUGAAUCCUCUUUGGAAAAUAUGCUAAUGAAUAAUGAGGAUUGAGGAUUGCCUCCUCCAGGGGCCAGGGGGUCUGCUUAUAUAGUCCCCUCAAGUGAAUCUGGGCUGUCGAUCAAACCGACAUUGAUUGAACAGUUCUCCUUGAUCCUUUAGGUCAGUGGAGCAUAAUCCGCGAGACGGGACCAGAUUGGUCUCUAUAGUAGGGCGGGCGCCCAAGGGGGGAGGGCGCGCGCCCUGCCCCCGGGCCCGUUCGGCCUCCCAUUCGUUCCCGUGGCUUCUGAAGUCUUCUAGAUGAUAGAAAAUUGCGCGGCACAUUAAUAUCUCUAUGUAAACCCGACAUGUGGGCAUUUCCUCCAUAUUUCCUGAUAACCCCCUGCAUAAAUAGACAAACACCCAAAACACGUGGAAUUAUGUCAGAUAAAACCCUAAGUCUGGGUGUUGGUUGCAUUUGGAUCCUUUUCUUUAUUUAUUUGAUGAUUAAAUUUGGUACUUAAGGACCGUCAACAACUCCCCCAAGCUUACCUCUUGCUCAUCCCUGAGCAAGGAUGAACUCAAGAGUUUCUGCAGUUGUUUCAUGCCUUAAAAGUACACAUGCGUUCAAGCGAGAUCUCAUCUCUGAGUUAGAGUAAACUGUUAAGACUUAAAACUUUCUCAUUUCACCUUUCACCAUGGGGCUUGCAACCGUCACUUGUGUCUUGAGCAGUUAAAAGAUAGAACGGUCAAGUCAAGCGCCAUGUCUCUUGUUCUUUUAUCAACUAUAGCUCUGGAGUUUUUGCAGAUUUUCAAAUAAAACUCAGAGAUUCCUUGUAUGACUCUCUCAAAUCUCGCUUUUGUGGUAUUUCUAGAUCCUUUCUAAGGUAGUAAUGGUAUAUGCCUUCUCUCAAAGUAUAUGGUAUUUUUGGUAUGAGGCAUAGUGAUAUUGCCUUCUUUCUCACCCUACUCUAAUAAGGUUUUUAUAUCUGGAGCUCAUCGGUGGGAGACAGAUAAUACAUACUUACAAGACAUUUAUUGCAUAGUCAAACCAUGGAUCCAGAAGAACAAGUCAAUAAGUCAAAUCAAGAUGUGCAUGUGUGGCGAGUGAAUGGUGUAUGGUGAUGAUGGUGAUAACAAUAGUGAAAGUCUAAUUCUACUUUUGCUAUUUUUAAGGGAUACAUACCUUUCUUGCACUUUGAAGCUUUUUGAGGAGAAUGAGAUGCUCUAUAUUCUUUUUUUUCUCUCAGAUGGGUUUCAUGUACCCCUAAUUCUACUGUCGGACACUUGUCCAUUUUACCUCUCGUCUUACUUUUUCUUUUCUUCGAGGUUCCGGGCACUUGCCCCUUUUUAUUUUCUCGUAUUUUUUUCUUCUUUUUUUCAGAGCACUUACCCUCCUAGAAUAAUGUAGCAAGUGGUAGUAACCAAAAUAUCUCGAGCAUUUUUUUCAUAGGGAAUAACAGGGAUAGGAAAAAGUUUUUGGCUAUUCUCUCUCGGAUUAGGAGUAGAAUACUUUUAGGUGAAUCUGGAGAUGGAAUUGAGUAGAUGUAUGUCGAUGCGUACUUCCGGAGUAGAAAUAGCAUGUAUGAGUGAACGUGCAAGUGAAUCUUGAUUUUAACCGCAUGACAAGCUCCUAAGGGUCUACACAGCUUGACCAUACUCAAUGCUCAUAAGCAGUAAAAAGUAAAUGUAUGGUUCAUAGUCUAAUAAGUAUGUAUAUAUGGCUGUGGUAGGAAUUUAAACUCUCAUCAUACAGGAACUCAUCAUGUGUUAUUUUAAAGAUUUUCAAAGAUAAAAUUCUCCAGUAUUCUAGCAUCUCUAGGUACAGAUAAAUAGCAGCUCAACCUUUCCAUAUCAUAUCCGUUAACGACUUAGACUAUAGAUCAAGUACUCUUACCACAAGUUCAGGUUUAGAGCAGAUUUAAAUUAUAACAGUUAUGUCUAAACUUGAGAGAGAGCUCAAACUUGAAAACUAGGUACAUGACAGAGCAACUAUUAUCAUAUCCAUGUAAGAGUUUAUCAUUGAAGUUCAGUUUGACCUAGACACUUUAUUUAUUUAUUUAGCAAACUAAGCAAAGAUAUAUAAGCACAAAAAUUUUAUUUGGGUUUUUAUGAUUAUGCAUCUUUUUAUUUAUUUAUUAUUUGAGUAAAGUAUAAACGCGAGUAGAAACACUUAGCUAGAUAACUGGGGGUGCUCUCCCCCAAGCUGGAUUUUGACGUAAUUUCUUCUGAUGUAGCUAGCAGGUGACGGAGGUGUAUUUGAAUGUCGGCAGCACCCUAACAGCGAUUACUAUGUCCUCCACCGGCUAGUCUUCUUUAAUCCUUGAAUUCUGUGGAGCUCAAAUAGACAACAAAGCUUUAUGGAAUUGGUUAAGUGUUAGCAUAAAAUCUCUUAGCCUUUAUCAUAUUGAGAUUCCUCCUAAUAAAUUUUAUUUAGCAGGAUCAUGCACCUAUUAUUUUUAUAUUUUUAUUGUAAGAUGAAAACAUAUUUAUUUUAUGCCACCACAGCAAAAUAUACCCAUGGAUUUUAAACCACAAGUCUACUCAUAUGGGGCUUUAGAUUUUAUGAUGAAGUGCAACGAACAAAUAUUUUUGUUUUCUUUUCUAAUGCUAAUGUGGAAAAGUAAGUGAUGGAAUAAAAAGGAAAAGGAAUGCAGAAAAGAUAAAUAUGGAUAAAUACUGAUUUUACCGUCCGGCAAGGAUCCCAUGUUUUAAGUCUUCAGGACAAGACUUCUCACCGUGUUCAUCCUUUUAGGUGCAUGAUUUGAUUAGCUGUGGGCCUUGACAUCUGCACCUCUUGAUACGGUGUCACCCAUGUUCUUCGUUUGUCCAGCAGUUCGAAGAGCGGCGUUGCCAAUAUCCUGCUCAGUGUGUUUGUACUCGUAGAUCCAGGCCCUUCACUUGGUGGAGUCUGGGAGUUGUAAAACUCCUUCAAGUUUUGCUCGAAGUGUACCUGCUCAUAGAGACAAGGUAGAGAUCAAGUGCAUGGGCCCUGUUGGUGAAAAACACCAACAGAACCAAAAGUGUAUUUGUUCUUCUCUAACCUUAAGCAUAGUGAGCAAGACAAAGUUGAUGGAUAAUAAGAUCAUGAGUGUAGCAUUUAAAACAUUUGUCAGACCAGAUCGCUCAACCUAAUGGAAAGAUAAUCUAUCUAUAUUUAUGUUUUGUUUAUAUCUUCCAAAGAUUGAAUGCGCAACAUUUUAGCUUAUAUGAUUAGGAGUGUGAGAUCACAAAGGUAGUACUAAGAACAAAGAUUAAAGUACUAAACAUGUUGAAUUAAUUGGGUUGGUUAAUUUGGAGU